rnacentral:pre_miRNA from 1 species
CUUAUACUCCCUCCGUUCCAAAUUACUCAUCGCAGAAAUGGAUGUAUCUAGAACUAAAAUACAUCUAGAUACAUCCAUACCUGCGACAAGUAAUUCAGAACGGAUGGAGUAGUUA